UACCAGCACCCCGAGUGGUCGGGACGUUUAUUGGGCCUAAAGCAUCCGUAGCCGGUUCUACAAGUCUUCCGUUAAAUCCAGCUGCUUAACAGAUGGGCUGCGGAAGAUACUAUGGAGCUAGGAGGCGGGAGAGGCAAGCGGUACUCGAUGGGUAGGGGUAAAAUCCGUUGAUCCAUUGAAGACCACCAGUGGCGAAGGCGGCUUGCCAGAACGCGCUCGACGGUGAGGGAUGAAAGCUGG
rnacentral:rRNA from 1 species